GACGAACGCUCGGUGCGUGCUUAACACAUGCAAGUCGAACGGAAAGGCCCUGCUUUUGUGGGGUGCUCGAGUGGCGAACGGGUGAGUAACACGUGAGUAACCUGCCCUUGACUUUGGGAUAACUUCAGGAAACUGGGGCUAAUACCGGAUAGGAGCUCCUGCUGCAUGGUGGGGGUUGGAAAGUUUCGGCGGUUGGGGAUGGACUCGCGGCUUAUCAGCUUGUUGGUGGGGUAGUGGCUUACCAAGGCUUUGACGGGUAGCCGGCCUGAGAGGGUGACCGGCCACAUUGGGACUGAGAUACGGCCCAGACUCCUACGGGAGGCAGCAGUGGGGAAUAUUGCACAAUGGGCGGAAGCCUGAUGCAGCAACGCCGCGUGCGGGAUGACGGCCUUCGGGUUGUAAACCGCUUUCGCCUGUGACGAAGCGUGAGUGACGGUAAUGGGUAAAGAAGCACCGGCUAACUACGUGCCAGCAGCCGCGGUGAUACGUAGGGUGCGAGCGUUGUCCGGAUUUAUUGGGCGUAAAGGGCUCGUAGGUGGUUGAUCGCGUCGGAAGUGUAAUCUUGGGGCUUAACCCUGAGCGUGCUUUCGAUACGGGUUGACUUGAGGAAGGUAGGGGAGAAUGGAAUUCCUGGUGGAGCGGUGGAAUGCGCAGAUAUCAGGAGGAACACCAGUGGCGAAGGCGGUUCUCUGGGCCUUUCCUGACGCUGAGGAGCGAAAGCGUGGGGAGCGAACAGGCUUAGAUACCCUGGUAGUCCACGCUGUAAACGGUGGGUACUAGGUGUGGGGUCCAUUCCACGGGUUCCGUGCCGUAGCUAACGCUUUAAGUACCCCGCCUGGGGAGUACGGCCGCAAGGCUAAAACUCAAAGGAAUUGACGGGGCCCCGCACAAGCGGCGGAGCAUGCGGAUUAAUUCGAUGCAACGCGUAGAACCUUACCUGGGUUUGACAUGGAUCGGGAGUGCUCAGAGAUGGGUGUGCCUCUUUUGGGGUCGGUUCACAGGUGGUGCAUGCCUGUCGUCAGCUCGUGUCGUGAGAUGUUGGGUUAAGUCCCGCAACGAGCGCAACCCUUGUUCACUGUUGCCAGCACGUUAUGGUGGGGACUCAGUGGAGACCGCCGGGGUCAACUCGGAGGAAGGUGGGGAUGACGUCAAGUCAUCAUGCCCCUUAUGUCCAGGGCUUCACGCAUGCUACAAUGGCUGGUACAGAGAGUGGCGAGCCUGUGAGGGUGAGCGAAUCUCGGAAAGCCGGUCUCAGUUCGGAUUGGGGUCUGCAACUCGACCUCAUGAAGUCGGAGUCGCUAGUAAUCGCAGAUCAGCAACGCUGCGGUGAAUACGUUCCCGGGGCU
rnacentral:rRNA from 1 species